rnacentral:misc_RNA from 1 species
ACUAUCAUCACUACCGGCGUGCUGUGUUCCUUCUUUUAUCCCUGCUAUCGAUUCUUAUUUGAUAUAUCUUAUCCAAUCUUAUUUGGCCGAUAUCUCGGCCAAAUCCACGCCAAAUUGUGCAAAAUCACAGUGAGGCUUCGACUAAUUUUUAUCAAUUUUGGUUCACAUGGAUAACUAUUUUUGGGGCAUACAAUGCCAAACAACAGUCAAUAAGAAUCAUUUUCACAUAAGGAAUAAUAGGAAUAAUUUUCCUAUGUUAUUUCUUGUUCUUAUUUCUGUUGUUUGACAUUGUAUGAUGUCUCUUAUGUGUAGAAUGGCAGCUGUUCAUUCUUAUAAUGCGGAAAAGAACCGCAAACUAAAAAGAUCAAAUCCAACGAAUAUAUCAGAAAUGAGUAAUCCGAAGAUUAUGUAUCUUCCGCCCAACAAUUUUAUAGAGAAUAAUAUUAUAAAAAGACUAGAAAAUGAAGAGCAAGACGAAUAUGUACAUGAAGAAUAUCUAAUCGAGGAUGAACAAUUAAAUAAUGUAGAUGAGGAUGUUGAAAACGAAAUUAAUCAUGAAGAUAAACAAGUGCACAACAAUGCAGUAUGUUGUAGUAAGUAUACAUUUUUUAACAUCUAUACUUAUAUUAUCUGUUAUUAUCUGAUUAUUUUAUUAUUUUUCUUUCCAGAUAAUUGUAGAGAAGAACGAAAACGUUAUGAAUAUUUGAUUAUGCGAAAAGUAAAUGAGUUAAUAGAAAUUGUACGAGCAAAUACUAAUCCUAUGGAGCAAAGAAAUCGUAAUUAUUCACUUCUGCCCCCGAUGCCAUUCAGUAUAGACGCACUACAACAUUUUGAUCAUGAUUUGAAUGAGAGUGAGGAAAUGCGAAAUCAAUUUAUGCAAAAAAUUCAAGAAAUUGGUGGGAAGACUGUUCAAAAAGUAAUCAAAUAUGCCAUGGAAACAGUUAUGACGGAUAAUUUAACUUAAACUGUAGUUUGGACUCUCGGAGCUGAAAACGUUCCAAAAAUUUCAAAAUUUAGAUUUCCAUACCUUAUAAUUAAUGUUGUACGUAACAUAUUUCCGGAAACAAAAAUAAAAGCACUUGAAGCUCGAAUUGCCGACUGGCUUCGCCGUGGGGGCGAUCGAAUAAAAGCAAUCAGAGUAGCUGAAAAUAAACGACGUGAACAACGUGAGCAACUAUAAGUCUGUGAAAAAGACUGACAAAAUAUUGAAUUUUAUGUUUAAUAUUAAAUUUUAUGAUAAAAUUUUAUGAUAAAUUUUAAGACAAAAUGUUGAAUUUUGUGAUAUUUAAUAUUAACAUGGAUGUUUUUUUUAUAAAUAAAUAAUAUUUUGAUUUUCUUAAAUCUGAUGUCUAAAUAUGAAUUGAGCAGAUAAUGAAAGUUUAUUAUCUGAAAUACGGAUUAGUUAAUUGUUAACUAUUAAUAAUUUUAAUUAAUAAUCAAGUUUAGUUGAUUAGUAAUUAAAAUUGUUAGUAGUUAUUGCAAUAAACUAAUCCGUAUUUCAAAUAAAAAACUGAUCGUUGCUUAUACCUAUUUUAUAUAACCUGUAAAUAAUUAAGAUAUCUUUUGGAUAUUAUAAAUUGAUACCAUUUAGAUAACCUUUACAAACUUUCUUAAUGACUAUAAGGUAUCUGUUAGAUGACCAGUGUAUUUGUUAAUUUUAUGACUUUAAAUGGAUAUAUUUUGGUUAUAGCAACUCGAUAACUUUAUGUUUACAUAUUGGCAAUUGAUAAAGGUUUACCAUAUGCUGGCAAUUUGAUAACCAUUAUAAGUUUUCCCAUAGUUAGCAUACAGACAUAAAUAAGUCAUCAUCCAAGCGAAAAUAAGUGAUACUAUUUGUAAUGCAAAAAGGUAUCUUUUUAGCCAGUAAAAAAGUCAUCCGAAUCUUUUUUUGGUUAACUUUUUCAUAUCUUUUUGAUAACAUAUUGCUACCUGGGUACUUACCUGAGGCCGUUCCUGGAAGGAGAGCCGUUCCUGAUCCGUCCUGGGAGAAGCAGCAGCACCUGAAAAAUAAAAGAUACAAUUAGUUCUAAAUAUUAAGUGCAGAUCCUGAGUGUGCGUGAGCACGAGUGUUAUUGGAUUACGUUCGAGUUUGUAUCCAGCCGUGACGUCGGGAAUCCGUACGAGAGCUCGAGGCCGUUACAGUCACCACAAGGUCAUCGAGGCAACCUUGCUUCUGGUAAAGGUGAAAGAAGCUGGCCGUGUAGGGGACCUGUUAAAAGAGCGACAAAAGGUUUGUGAGUUUCCAAUUAUCCGAAAGUUCCAAUUCCGUGUAUCAAAUCUCCGGUCACAACCUAACCUUAAAACCGGCCCCCAGCAGCUCGCAGCACCCCGACCCGGUGGCGGCAGUAGCAUCAACGUCUGGCCUUUCGGCGUCUUAGACCAAGCUGUUCGUGUCCGAACGAGUCGAGAGGAAGACCAGCGACGGGAAAAGUAUAGUAAGCGUCAUCCUGCAGCGUACCCCAGUACCAACGGACGACGGGGCAACCACAGGCAAGCCAACCCGACCCGUAGCUGAAGGGAAAGAGGCGUAGGACACGCUAUAUCAACACGAGGUCAAACCCCGACAAUUCCUUUUAUUUUCCAAACUUGCGUUAAUUAUUUUAUUACAAGUUUAGAGCGAGCGGUAAAUCAGCGCGCGCAGAUAAAGUCAUAUUUCUCGACUUAUUUUAAAUAUGUUCUUUUAACAUUCACUUAUUAUAAAUAUUCGUGUGCUCAUUAUUAUUAUAUAUAUAUAACCUUAGUUGUAAGCAUUCUAAGUAUUCAUUUCAUAUGUUUGUGUGUGACAUCCUUCACACAAUGAUUUCUGUACCUUGUAUGGUACUGCUAGCUUUAUUAGCUAUUUUCUUUUUUGUAGUCAUUAUAAUAGUCAUUUGCUACCCAGCCUAUUUCUAAAACUGUUUUAUUUCAUUCUUUGUACUAGCGUGCAUGAUGCUAGAAGCGCAACGCAUAUGCUUUAACUUUAAGUUAAUUAGUUUAAAUACACUGAGGCUCAACGCCAAACUCCUUCUAUUAUUUGUAUUUAGUUACAUUACGUUCAAUUUAAGUCGUUUUAUACGUUUUACAGUUCAGUUAGUUCAUACAAUCAUUUUAAGCAAACUGCACUUUAAGUGCAAUCUUUAUAGUAUAAACUGCACUUUAAGUGCAAUAUUCAAAAAUUCAUGAUAACAUUGGUAAAUGCAUCAAACCGCACUCUGGUGCGCUAUUUAUGUACAACCGAUACCCAAUAAGGAAUUGGUACUAUUUGAUAUUAUUUUAUCUUACGAAAUUGUCAUUUUGACAUGUUCGAAGCUCAACUUUUGUGCUAUGCUUAUUUUCUUACAAGUCUAAUUAUUUUGAGGCUUAACGCAACUCUUUUAGUUUUAUACGCUUAUUCGAUGCAUUUCCUAGUGUCUUGGCUUUAGUGAGCCACGAAUAACAUAAAAUCCGUUAAUCGAUGUGAAUUGCACCUUAAGUGCGAUCAUCGGCAUAUAGCUGCACUUGCAAGUGCAGUCUCCACUUGAUGGUGGGGAUACGCCGAAAUGGAGGGGGCAACAGACGCGAUGCCCACAGCGCAACGAGACCGCGCAGCCGAGCAAGCCGCGAGAAGUGGGGGCUUCAACCAACCUUGCGCCCCGAAAAACCGACGCCACGCGGGAUUGGCGGAUCCCGACGGAAGGAGGUAGCGUCACUCUCCCGAGUACUUAAGCGAGCACCGAGAGCUCUCGAGAGCUUUCGCGCCCGAUCUUUUACCACGACAACACUUCGGAAGUAGAAGACGAGUUUUCGCGCCCGAACUUUUACAGCAAUAACACCUCGCAAGUUAGAAGACGAGCUUCGCGCGUAAGGGCGUUGGUCGCCGAAUGCGAGUAGGUGACCACCGGCGGAAGUUCCGCGAUUCGAGUAAUUAAAGAUCGUUUUGCGUAAUACGUCAUUGUUAUCCGAAUGCGAGUAGGAGUAACAAAUUGCGAAGACUCUUCAUUAGUCUUAUUCGUUAACUCGUUUGUGAAGUAAGCGACGCGGACGGGAAGUGUCUGUGAUAUGAAGAGAAUAUAUAAACGAUCGAAUAAAUUUUUAUAUUUUAUUGUUAAUUAAAACAAAGUGAACUGAUUUACUUACCCAUGUGUUGUGCGACGAUCCUGAUCCUGGGAGACGAUCCUUGAUGAACCUGAAAUAAAAAAAAGGGACUUAAAAGGGAAAAUAAUACCUCUCGAGGCUGUGAACGCGGGUUAACACUAUUUCGUUAGAUACUUGCCUGAGGCCGUUCCUGGAAGGAGAGCCGUUCCUGAUCCGUCCUGGGAGAAGCAGCUGCACCUGAAAAAUAAAAGAUACAAUUAGUUCUAAAUAUUAAGUGCAGAUCCUGAGUGUGCGUGAGCACGAGUGUCAUUGGAUUACGUUUGAGUUUGUAUCCAGCCGUGACGUCGGGAAUCCGUACGAGAGCUCGAGGCCGUUGCAGUCACCACAAGGUCAUCGAGGCAACCUUGCUUCUGGUAAAAGAAGCUGGCGACCGUGUAGGGGACCUGUUAAAAGAGCGACAAAAGGUUUGUGAGUUUCAAAUUAUCCGAAAGUUCUAAUUCCGUGUAUCAAAUCUCCGGUCACAACCUAACCUUGAAACCGGCCCCCAGAAGCUCCCAGCACCCCGACCCGGCGGCGGCAGUGGCAUCGACAUCUGGCCUUUCUGCGACGCAGCCUAAGGUUUUCGUAGCUGAAAGGGUCGAGAGGAAAACGAGCGACGGAAAAAACAUCGUAAGCGUCAUCCUGCAGCGUACUCCCGUACCGGCGGACGACGGGGCUACCCCUGGCAAGCCAACCCGACCCGAGGACAGCAGGGAAGCGGCGUAGGACGCGUUUACAUCUACGAGGUCAAACCCUGAAAGAUUUUCUUAUUUUUUAGUUUAUUUUCUAAACUUUUGUUAAAUAAUUUUAUUUCGAGUUACCAGCGAGCGGAAAACCAGCGCGAGCGCAUAGGGUCAAAUUCGCGACCUAUUUUUAAUCAUUACUUAACUUUUCUUAUUACAUAAAUAUAUAUAUUCGUGUGCUUAAUUUUACUUAUAAUCUUAGUUUCUAAGUUUUCUAAGUCCUUUUUUCAUAUGUUCGUGUGUGACAUUUUUUAUACAAUGAUAUCAGUACCUUGCAUGGUACUACUAGCUCUAUUAGCUAUUUUCUUUUUCACAGUAAUUAUAAUAAUCAUUUGCUACCCAGCAUACUUCUAAAACAGUCUAAUAGUUAUUUUCUGUACUGGCAAGCGUGUUGCCAGAAGCACAAUGCAUGUGCUCUAUUUUAAGUUAAUUAAUCUAAAUACACUUAGGCUCAACGCCAAAUUCUUUCUAUUGUUUAUAUUUAAUCACAUUACGUGUGAUUCAAGUCAUUUUAUAAGUUUUUUUAGUUCUUUUGCAAGUUUAAGUAAACUGCACCUUAAGUGCAAUCUUUGUAGUAUAAAAACUGCACUUUAAGUGCAAUAUUUAAAAUUUUACAGAAACAUUAGCAAAUGCAUCGAAUCGCACUCUGGUGCAUAUUUCACGUAAAACCGACACCCACUGAGGGUUUGGUACUAUUUGAUAUUUUCUAUUUUUCGAAAUUGUCAUUCGGACAUGCUCGAAGCACAACUUUUGUGCUAUGCUUAUUUUCUUACAAAUCUAAUUAUUUUCUGGCUUAAUGCCACCUUUUUAGUUUCAUACGCUUAUUCGAUGCAUUUCCUAGUGUCGUGGCUUUAGUGAGCCACGUAUAACAUGAAAUCGGUUAGUCGGUGUGAAUUACACUUUAAGUGCGAUCGACGGCAGACAGCUGCGCUUACAAGUGCAGUCUUCACUCGAUGGUGGGGAUACGCCGUGAUGGAAGGGACAACAGACGCGUUGCCCCACGGCGCAACGACGCCGCGCAGCCGUGCCAGCCACAGGGAGUGGGGGCUUCUACCAAGCCUUGCGCCCGGUAACACCGACGCUACGCGGGAUUGGCGGAUCCCGUCGGGAGGGGGUAGCGUCUCUCUCCCGGUACAUAAGCAAGCAGCGAGAGCUCUCGAGAGCUUUCGCGCCGGAACCUUAACAGCGAUAACAUCUCGCAAGAGUGAAAGACGAGCUUUCGCGCCGGAACCUUGAUAACGCUAACAUCUCGUAAAGUAAAGAAGGAGCUUUCGCGCCGGAACCUUUACAGAGUUAACAUCUCGACAGUGCGAAGUCGAGUUUUCGCGCCCGAUCUUUGUGAGCGUUAGGGCGUUGGUCGCCGAAUGCCAGUAGGUGACUACCGGCGGAAGUUCCGCGAUUCGUAUAAUUAAAAAACGUUUCGCGUAAAAAAUUAUAGUCACCCGAAUGCGAGUAGGUGUGACAAAUAGCAGACUAUUCGAUAGUCUUAUUCGUUCACUCGAUUGUGAAUUAAGCGACGCGGACGGGAAGUGUCUGUGAUAAAGGAGAACAUACAUAUUUUCUUGAAUAAAUUUUUAUUGUUAUUGUUAACAAAACAAAGAGAACUGAUUACUUACCUAAGUGUUGUGCGACGAUCCUGUUCCUGGGCGAUGAUCCCUGAUGAUCCUGAAAUAAAAGAUAGUUACUUACCUGAGGCCGUUCCUGGAAGGAGAGCCGUUCCUGAUCCAUCCUGGGAGAAGCAGCAGCACCUGAAAAAUAAAAAGAGAUAAUUAGUUCUUAAUAAUAAGUGUGGAUUCCGCGUGUGCGUGAGCACGAGUGAAAUUGGAUUACGCUCGAGUCAGUAUCCAGCCGAGACGUUGGGAAUCCGUACGAGAGCUCGAGGCCGUUGCAGUCAUCACAAGGUCAUCGAGACAACCUUGCUUCUGGUGAAGGUUAAAGAAGCUGGCGACCGUGUAGGGGACCUGUUAACAGAGCGAUAAAAGGUUUGUGAGUUUCCAAAUUAUCCGAAAGUUCUAAUUCCGUGUAUCAAAUCUCCGGUCACAACCUAACCUUGCAACCGACUCCCAGACGUUCCCCUCAGCCGGUGGCAUCAACAUCGAAACAGCAGCAGCGGAGUGGCGAAAUAUCAUUUUACGAAGCUGCGAGAACUGAGAGGAAGCACCUUCAGGGUAAGGAGGUACUUAGCGUGACGUUGAGACGAGCGGAGGUGAUCGCCGACGCGAAGAAGCAAUAGAGUCGCGUUAAUCUUAAUAAAUGCGCGAGAUUUAGUAGCGAGCGCAAAAAGAUAUCUUAUAUUAUUUUUAAUAGGCUAGCGUUAAUUUUAGUUAGUUUAUGUCAAAGCGACAAUGUUUUUUAUUUUUCGUUUACCAAAGAGGUACAAGUCAUUAUUCGAUAGCUAGCGAUAAAGUGAACGCGCGAAUAGCGUAUGAAUAUGUUUUCCUUAUACAAGUUCAUAUAUAUACAUAUAUAUAUAUCUUUAAAUUUUAUAACUUUAUUAAUCUUUUAUUAUCCAGUAAAAUACGUUUAAAUUCCCUUUUUAUUAGUUUAAUGCAUGUUGGUAAAACGAAAACGGCAUGUGUAAAGUCGAGAAAAAUCUUGUCUUAUUUUUAAUAAAUGACUUUGUAAUUUUUAUGUUAUCUUUAAACGUUACAUUCCUUGUAACAUACGCCUGGUGCAUGUACGUCACCGUAACUUGAUAUUAUUUGUCGUUUUAUCAGUUUUAAGAACAUUGAUAAGUAUUGGUCAGGGUGGCACUUUAUUUGUCAAACCUGCACUUUUAAGUGCAACCCGUAGAAACAUUACGGGGAGCAAAGUACAGCGUAAAGCGCAACCUGAGCUGCACUCUGAAGCAAUAACGAGCUAUCCUGUGAUUGGUCGACCAGCCUGGAGAGGGGAUGACCACAGCCAUCCUGCGAAGCGGCAGUGCCAUCGUACGGGGAUUGGACGUACGAUACCUGGAGGGGGUAAACACACUCUCCCGACGUCGCAGACGCACGGGGAUUGGAGGAAGCGCGCAGAGUGAGGGAAGGCACCAACCCGGGUAUAAAAAACGAUGCGAGGAGCUCACGAGAGCUUUUCGCGCCACGAAUUUCGUCGAGUAAAAACCUCACGACAUUAAAAGUGAGAGCGACGCGUAGUGUUUCUAGAAGUUACGCCGAAUGCGAGUAGGCGUGCGUGAGCGCGAUAGUUCCGCGGGAUUGCUCGAAGUGCAUACCGUGUUUAGUUUACGAACUGGGCCGAAUGCGAGUAAGCCCAAGAUUUUUUGUUUAUUAAUUGCAAUCCGUUUACCUGAUUGUGAUGAGGCGUCGCGUACGAGACAUGUGAAGAUUUAUUUUGACACACGACAUUCCGAAACGAAUGUGAAGAAACGACGCGUCCGGGAAGUGAUUGUGAAACGUGCAAAUCUGCAAAACAUGAAUAAAUUGUUUUUUUUAUUGUUUGUUUAAUAAUCAAACGUCUAAUUAACUUACCUUGCGUGCGUGAAAAUCCGAUCCUUGUCCUGGUGGCUGAUCCUGGGAAAACCUGAAAAGAGAAAAAAUCCUAAUUACAACCGGGGCGCAAAGCAGACACCUAACCUAAAAAA